rnacentral:misc_RNA from 1 species
GCAUGAGUUGUUCUGGACUUGCUCUGGAUGUCGGGCUCCCUGCACUUUUGGUGCGGCCAACCGAACAUAGGGCUGUCUCUUCACUCUCCCUCCCGUCAUUGAACAUGUUGUGGUGGGGAUGCCUCCGAUUGGUUGCCUGUGCGGUUCUACCCUCUUCUGGGUAGUGAAGUCGUCCCUUGAUGGAUAUUUGCUUGCCCUUCUGACAUUUUUGUGUCGUUUGGGCAGCCGAAAUGUUGGCGAAAUCCUUAUGUUGGCGCGUGGUCGAAUGUCGCGUUGCUAUCACUUGGAUUUUUGCCGGCUCUCACGGAUGCGGUGCCUAGUGCUAGCUCUGCGGGACUUUGCCCCGCAGACUUUGGGAGGUCCCUUGUACGAACCAUUGCUCUUAUACGCCGUCUUGUCGUGUUGCCACCGCGGCACGCAGAUCGUGUUCUUUCGUGCAGUCGUUGACAGCACGUUACGAACAGAAGUGUCCGGAGCGUGGUCUUGCGCACGUGGAAUGCCUCUCUGACCGUAUGAGCAGCGAUUUCCGAUUUGCAUCACGCGAAGGCCCGCCCGUCUGGGUCGGUGCUGGAGCUGACGCGCCGGCUAUCGUUUAAGACGUGCUACCUGGUUGAUCCUGCCAGUAGUCAUAU